AUGAGUCAUACAGUAUAGCACUAUAAACUUUUAGGCUUUUUUUUUUUUUUUUUUUUUUUUUUACAUUUCUAAGCAAAGUUUUACAGAACUAAAUAGGAGAAAACAGCUUUACGAUAGGGCAAGGAAAUGUAAGAAAGUUUAAACUAAGACAUUUUCUCAUAGAACCACCUGUGGUGGUAACAAAAAAGCAAGGAAAGUCAAUUUCUUGAGAAAGAAGGAUUUAUUUUCCCUUUGUUUCUUUUUUCAGGUUUUCAUUCUCUCCAUUUAUAUCAGGUGCUACCUGUUCCUUAAAGGUGAUGCACUGCAACUGCACAAAUGGCUUCUAUGCCAUCUCCUUCAAAGGUAGCUUGUAGAAGAAACAAACAAAAGAACUCCCCCUACCUGCUUAAAAAAAAAUAUAGUAAAGAACAUAAUUUCAAUCCAAAGAAAGAAUUUUUGGAGUUGCAAGUACAGUAGCAUGCAUAUGAGGUCUGACAGACACCCUCUUGCGGAUAUCAACCACCAUUAAAAUAUAGAAGCAUUUGUCAGGAACUUCCAGAAUUAAAAUCAAAAAAUAUGAAAUAAAAACCUGUAUUUCAAAGUGCAGUAUAAUCACAUUUUAAUAACAAAGUCAACAUUAUGAUGGAGGAAACCACUAUGAGACUGCGACAUCUUAAACAUUUAUUGAAGAACUAAAGAACAGUAAUGGUGAAAUAAGUCAAUUCUUCCUCUUUAGAGGAAGGAAUCCAGCUCUGAGCUAUGGUUAGGAUGUAACUAUAAUAUCAGUUCCCAAAAUAACAGUCUUAAUCAACAAAGAAUUUCCCCAGUCAAAUUUAAUUUUGUACUAUGAAAAGACAGAAGGCUAACUAUCGCUUCCGUUGUACCAUGACAUCUACGUACAGAUCUGCACAUAAGAGCAGGGAAGCUCACGCUACAACAGCUUGGAUGCAGCCUGCCCAAACACUUGCCUGGAUUACUUGCCCUUUUUUAUUUUCCUGCAGGUCUGUCUCCUGAAGGCUUCACAGUCCCUACCCAGGCAGACAGCUGGAAGGACAUCUCUUUCAUGGAAGUGCCAGCUCCCUCCCCAUCAAGUCUGCACCACACAUCUACUCAGGUGUGAGACUGCAGCAAGUCAGCUGUGAUGACAUCUGUCAGAUAGACCUGAGGUUUGCAGCCAGACGAAGCAACCCCCACCCACAAUACAGUGCUCAGAAUGGCACUUCAAAGCCUAAGAGAAGCUUCUGAUAAUUUGGAGGAUACACUCAGAAUCAGAUGCCUCUGGCAAUUCAGCAUCAAAACCAAAAAGCAGAUGAGUCAGAUCUGAGAGUUCCUGAAGCACCGCUCACUUCUAAAAUGCAUGAAUAGGCUUCCCUGGAAAUAGCACUCAGCUGGAAAAGAACAAGUCAUAAAAGUAAAAACUGCACCAGGGAAUAAGAGAAAGAUAUCAGUCGCCUUUACAUCCUGAAUUUAUGACGCACUUUGUUAUCAUGAAGAUGAGUGUAGUGUAAGAAGUCUUGGUGGGCAGAAUAAAAAGAAGCCAAUUUUGACAGCCUGGUUUUCCUUUUAUUCUUUCAUUCCACCAUCUUCCCUACCUCUUGGUCAUUCCUUCCUAUCAUCGAUACCUUUAAUCCAUAUUCCACUGUCCACAUCACCUUACAGAAUCACGAACACUGUGGCCGCCCUGAUGUUGCAUUACCCUGUAGAUACAAAGCAGUUCAGUUUUACAUAUAGCCAGCCUGGAGUGGUAGAAGACACAGGUCAUCCAAAAAGCCCAGACAUUUCCAGAAAAACUUUGCUAACAGCCAGUCAUCGCUCCCUGAGAAGGAUGUGUUAAUUAAGACACAAGUAUGCUUUUGCAACUUCUUUAAAAUAUCACCUCAAGAGCUCCUUGAGUUUUCAUGAGGAACGGAGUCUCUUCCUGCUUUUUUCAACAAGAUUCAAAUCUGUUGCCUUCAGGUAAGGUUCUUUACAGCCAAGGGCAUAACAUUUCCUCAUAUUGUUACUGAUGCUCUAGUUAACGGGUGUAGCAUUUGCCCUGGAAAUAGAAUAGGAACUCACGGAUUAUAUUAUCCUGAUUAGGUCCUCCGCCACCACCACCACUUGUUUGAAGACUAUCCCAGUUAAGGCCUAACACACAGUUUGCCGUUCAUGCCUACUAGGGGCUACAUUAACAGCAGCAGAUUUGCAAGUAAGUAAAUGCAUCACAAUUCUAUACUGUCACACCUUUUGGCUGAUGGACACUUUCCCAUUUCGCAGUGAACCUGGUGAACUGCAGUGAAUCUUCUGUGGUUUUAAGCCCAACCCGUGAUUACACAGAAAUCUCAAUUUUGCAUUUUAUUUUGCCUCUUAAAGCAGAGUUUGAGCCUGCAGAGUUGUGCAGAGAACUUUAGAAAUAUGUGGUUGUUCAGAAAACAAAAAUCAAAAGAGUAAGCUCAUAUUUUUUAAAUCUAUCUCUGUAUUUUUCAAUCCAUCUCACAAUUACUGGAUGCUCCAGAUUGGACAGUCCAGCUGUAGAGGAAUGAAUUUUACAGAAAUUCAGAACAAAGAGGCAUGGCAAACUACAAGAAGGAUUGUAAAUACAUGCAUAGCUUCCUCUCUGUCAAAGUGUGGUCUGUGCUACACUCAUUUGCAGACCUUUUGAUUUAACAGGCAGCUGGAAAAUCAGGCUUUUCUAGGGACUGUUAGCUGUGGAAUUAAUUCACUGUUGGUCAUUUGUGAAUCGUGUAGAUAUGGUCUCAAAUACUGAGGGAGGAAGCAACUGAAGCACUUCUGUUAUUUUUAUAGAGUUUGAAUGGGAGACUUCUAGUGUACUACAUCUGAAAAUGGA